AUUGAACGCUGGCGGCAGGCCUAACACAUGCAAGUCGAGCGGAUGAAGGGAGCUUGCUCCUGGAUUCGGCGGCGGACGGGUGAGUAAUGCCUAGGAAUCUGCCUGGUAGUGGGGGAUAACGUCCGGAAACGGGCGCUAAUACCGCAUACGUCCUGAGGGAGAAAGUGGGGGAUCUUCGGACCUCACGCUAUCAGAUGAGCCUAGGUCGGAUUAGCUAGUUGGUGGGGUAAAGGCCUACCAAGGCGACGAUCCGUAACUGGUCUGAGAGGAUGAUCAGUCACACUGGAACUGAGACACGGUCCAGACUCCUACGGGAGGCAGCAGUGGGGAAUAUUGGACAAUGGGCGAAAGCCUGAUCCAGCCAUGCCGCGUGUGUGAAGAGGGUCUUCGGAUUGUAAAGCACUUUAAGUUGGGAGGAAGGGCAGUAAGUUAAUACCUUGCUGUUUUGACGUUACCAACAGAAUAAGCACCGGCUAACUUCGUG
rnacentral:rRNA from 1 species